rnacentral:rRNA from 1 species
UACGUAGGUGGCAAGCGUUAUCCGGAAUUAUUGGGCGUAAAGCGCGCGUAGGCGGUUAUUCAAGUCUGAUGUGAAAGCCCGCGGCUCAACCCCGGAGGGGCAUUGGAAACUGGAAAACUUGAGUGCAGAAGAGGAAAGUGGAAUUCCAAGUGUAGCGGUGAAAUGCGUAGAGAUAUGGAGGAACACCAGUGGCGAAGGCGACUUUCUGGUCUGUAACUGACGCUGAUGUGCGAAAGCGUGGGGAUCAAACAGG